rnacentral:lncRNA from 1 species
UAAUAUGCAGGACUCAAUUAAAGACUGAAAUAGCAGUUGCUCUAGAAGGCAAUUGACAACAACUUGAGUAGCAAAUUUGAGUGACCAUCUAUUGCAUUGGUUGUUGCUUGAAAGGGGUAAGGCUUGGUGAAAGGGCAAAAAUUUUGUGACUUAUGGAAAAAAACAAUUAAAAGAGAAUCGUACUACUAACGUGUUAUAAAAUAAGUAGACAAAGAGUAAAGAAUAAAGAAAAUAUGGGGAGCAAUAGAGAAUGUAUUUUAUUGAUCAAUGGGGACAUUUAUAGAGCUU